rnacentral:rRNA from 1 species
UACGGAGGGAGCUAGCGUUGUUCGGAAUUACUGGGCGUAAAGGGCGCGUAGGCGGUCCUGAUCGUCGGAUGUGAAAGCCCCGGGCUCAACCUGGGAAUGGCAAUGGAUACUGGCGAGCUAGAGUGUGUCAGAGGAUGGUGGAAUUCCCGGUGUAGCGGUGAAAUGCGUAGAUAUCUGGAGGAACACCGGUGGCGAAGGCGGCAUCCUGGACCGAGAUUGACGCUGAUGCGCGAAAGCCAGGGGAGCAAACGGG